rnacentral:lncRNA from 1 species
AAAAAUUUGUAAAAAUGGAAUAUGAAGAAAUUGGACCAAAGGAAGGGAAAGACGAAGAAGGAAAUGAUGGGAAAGGCCUUGAGAAGCGAUCAAAAGUAAAAGAAAUCACAAGAACAGUCAUUGAUUAAAUGGGCCAGAGCACCCAUCCCAGAAGAUGGCUGGCAUGACACCAAGAGAAACAUAUGUCACCAUCUUCCAGAGAGGCAGAGCUCAGGCACCUGAAGCAUGAAGUCUAAUGUCCAGAGCCAUUUGCAUUUACUGUCUCCAGUGCUGUUUCUCAGCCAUAUCUUCCACAUAAUACAGACUCCGUCCUCCAGAGCGUAGGGACCUGAACAUGCAAACUGGGCAGGGAACAAACACCAGGGCUCAUUCGGCCCAGUGUGCUUGCGUAACACCCGAACCACUUCUACCUUCAGUUCCAAUUGGAAAAUGAAUUUCUCAGUUACUUAUCAACUUAAAUGAUGUGCUCCUCGUCCCCUGCCCUCCUCUCUCUUCUCUCAGAGCCUCAGACUAAGUGAAAAUAUUCCCCUCAGCAUUUGCUGUCUGCUUUCAAGGCUCUUCUAGACGACCUGCCCAUGCUCAGCUUUGGAGGUAUCUUUUAAAGAAUUGUUUCUGGGGCCGGCCCCAUGGCAGAGUGGCUAAGUUUGCGUCCUCUGCUUCAACGGCUCAGGGUUUCACGGGUUUGGAUCCCGGGUGCGGACAUGGACAUGGCACCGCUCUUUGGGCCAUGCUGAGGCAGCAUCCCACAUAGCAGAGCCAAGAGGACCUACAACUAGAAUGCACAAUUAUGUUCUCGGGGGCUUCAGGGAGAAGAAGAGAAAAAAAGAAAAGACAAAGAAGAUUGGCAACAGAUGUUAGCUCAAGUGCCAAUCUUUAAAAAAAAAAGAAAAAAGAAAAUUGUUUCUCUUGUAGUGAUGGAAAUAUUUAUUUGAAGUUCAGCAGUUCUUCUGUUUCACAUCUAUUAAAAUAAACUAAAAUUAAGUUUAAUUCCUUUAAUUUAAAAAGCAUCUAUGGUGUAAGCUCAUUUUUUAAAAAUGUAUUCUAUCUAUUUUUCUAACUCCACAUUUGCAUUUAAAAAGAUGCUUUGGAUAACAAAGGGUGUUUGGUUGUGUUAUCCUAAAUAAAGAAUAGAAUUUCAGGAUAGAGGGAUUUGAGCUAUUUCUAUAUUUCUAAUUCUUUUUAC